GUCACGUUACAAAAUUAGCUCUUUAAUUAUUAUUAUAAUUAUUUUUCCUCGGUCUCCAUUUAAAUUCUCUAAUUUCUCGUAUAGGACUACUGGGGUGACGUCAUACCUCGGUGAUGGAACGUACUCCACCUAUCGAGAAUGAUUUCGUUUUCUGAGAGAGUUUGACGUUUACCUUGGCGGAGAAGCGCCUCUCGUUCUUUACUUGACUGUUGGCUGUUGUGUCGAAUAGAGGUACCAUAUAGAAUGGCGGAUGAUUUCAUCCAACUUAUUUUAUAACAUCAAGCAAUUUAACGUAAAGUAAAAAGUUACCACCAGGGAUUGUCUGGAGUGAGGAGACAUGUGGGUGACAACUCCUGUUGGAGUAUAAAUAGGAAUCAUUCGCCAUUUGGGAGAAACCCUACCAUGAAGUCCUAGACCUUAUUUGACCACCUUGGGAAACCACUACAGCCACAGUCAAGUCAUCAUUGGGUAGUAAUUGUGGGAACAAGCUAUGGGAGCGUUCCAGCUCAAUUUUCGUCUUGGCACCUGGGCCUAGUCGCACCAUCCUGGUGCAUCAUUUUCUAGGAUGCAACCGCAACCUCGUUUGGGAACAUUCAGUGAGGUGUUUAGUAACUAUUGGUUUUUUUUUAUAUUUCAGACUAUCUGUUAAAUACACUAUGUUUUUUUUCCAGAUUUAGGUUACCUCUGGUUUUUUUUUGACAUAUUUGUAUAUUAGAUUAUUUGGUUCCCAAACUUUGUAUCUACGGUAACUUCUUGUGCACAGGAAUAAGCCUAGAGAAAAUUAGGUUUUUAAUACUUUAUUAUUGCUUUGAUAUUGGUUUAUGUAAUUCGGGUAAAUUUAUUUUUUUAAUAUUACUAGCUUGUUUCCCAAAUAUUUUACUGUUAUUCGCUUUAUUCCAUUUGUUCGGUUAAUUUAGGUCAUCGUCGGUAUUUAUCUCAACUUCAUUUCUAUUUAUACUUAACUUACUUACUUCAUUAUUGUAUUUUCCCUUAGUGAGGCUUGGGCCUAUUUAUUUGUAUUAUUUUCAUCUUUGUCAGUUUCCUUUAGUUGUACGUAGCAGGCGUACUAUAACCAUUUGGUAGAAGACUUAUGUAAUUUUGUACCCUAUAUAUAUGUAAGAGGUAUUUAAGUUUAUAACAGAUAACAUUAUUGUUGUUAUCUUUAAAAUAUAUAUAGCUUCUUGUAUAACUUAUGUCAUUUUAGAGUUACAUGAUAUAUGCUUGUCUAACUCAGAGAUUGUUAAAAAUCUAGUAGUUAUUUUAAUAAAUAUUUAUUUAUUUUGUA